AGUGUGUGAUCUUACGCCUGGCCGCUUUCACUCAGCUGACUUACUCUGAGAUCCACCCACGUAGCUGAAGGUGUGCGUACUUCGUCCUUUUUUACGGAGCUGCUACUUUACUUCGAAUUGCUGCCCUGGACCUGAAGAAGUCGUAUGAAAGUCUUGAUUUUCACCUUCCUUUCAAUACUUGGAAGGCCUGCACUGCUGGACAUGGAUUCUAAAUGUGCUUCGGCUGAUCCCCUGCCUCCCGCAGGCGCAGGUGCCCCCCAUGUCGCUGCAGCCUCUGCCUCUCUGUAUUAACUCACUGCCACUUCCAUCCUUUGUGGAGUUUACCCGCCCCGAGGAUAAGCAUUUGCCUGCCAGGUCUCCGUGUUCACCAAGCUCUUCCUCCCCACUUUCUCCCGGGGACCCUUCCACGGGUGUCUUGCACUCAGCACGUCAUGUUUGAGCCCAUGUCCUCCCCUUCCAGUAUUCCCGGUUCCAGGAGGUGCAUUACCACCACCGCCCCUCCUUGGGCCCCAGUCACCAAGGCAAAGGCCUGGGUAUCUAUGUGUCUCCCCCUUGUCCUACUUACAAUUCAUCACCAGCCCUGACACUUCUGUAAACCUGCCCCUUCUCUCCAUCCCACAGUCCAUCCUGAGCUAAGCCACCAUCUUCCCUGGCUUGGACCACAGCAGCCUCGUGAGUGGGUCUUCCUGCUUGUACUUCCUUCCCUCCAAACUGCUGGGCACUCUGCAGCCAGGAAGGUCUUUAAAAUGCAAUGUGAUGGUGUCAUUUCCUGCUUAGACCUCUUUGAUGGCUUCUUACUGCUCUUAGCGAAAAAUGUAAACUCCUUACAAGGCAAGAAAAUCAAACUCCCCAAGGGCCUGCUACCAGGGCAGCCUCCUGCCCAGCCUCUUCCCACACCCUCCCCUAUUUUCUCU